UGAUCCUGGCUCAGAUUGAACGCUGGCGGCAGGCCUAACACAUGCAAGUCGAACGGUAGCAUAUCUUGCUUGCAAGAUGGUGACGAGUGGCGGACGGGUGAGUAAUACUUAGGAACAUGCCUUUGAGUGGGGGAUAACUAUUGGAAACGAUAGCUAAUACCGCAUAACGUCUACGGACCAAAGGGGGCUUCGGCUCUCGCUCAGAGAGUGGCCUAAGCGAGAUUAGCUAGUUGGUGAGGUAAAGGCUCACCAAGGCGACGAUCUCUAGCUGUUCUGAGAGGAAGAUCAGCCACACUGGGACUGAGACACGGCCCAGACUCCUACGGGAGGCAGCAGUGGGGAAUAUUGCACAAUGGGGGGAACCCUGAUGCAGCCAUGCCGCGUGUGUGAAGAAGGCCUUCGGGUUGUAAAGCACUUUCAGUUGUGAGGAAAGGUUAGUAGUUAAUACCUGCUAGCUGUGACGUUAGCAACAGAAGAAGCACCGGCUAACUCCGUGCCAGCAGCCGCGGUAAUACGGAGGGUGCGAGCGUUAAUCGGAAUUACUGGGCGUAAAGCGCACGCAGGUGGUUUGUUAAGCUAGAUGUGAAAGCCCAGGGCUCAACCUUGGAAUAGCAUUUAGAACUGGCAGGCUAGAGUCUUGGAGAGGGGAGUGGAAUUCCAGGUGUAGCGGUGAAAUGCGUAGAGAUCUGGAGGAACAUCAGUGGCGAAGGCGACUCCCUGGCCAAAGACUGACACUCAUGUGCGAAAGUGUGGGUAGCGAACAGGAUUAGAUACCCUGGUAGU
rnacentral:rRNA from 1 species